rnacentral:rRNA from 1 species
AGUGAACGCUGGCGGUAGGCCUAACACAUGCAAGUCGAACGGCAGCACAGUAAGAGCUUGCUCUUACGGGUGGCGAGUGGCGGACGGGUGAGGAAUACAUCGGAAUCUACUUUUUCGUGGGGGAUAACGUAGGGAAACUUACGCUAAUACCGCAUACGACCUACGGUUGAAAGCAGGGGAUCUUCGGACCUUGCGCGAUUGAAUGAGCCGAUGUCGGAUUAGCUAGUUGGCGGGGUAAAGGCCCACCAAGGCGACGAUCCGUAGCUGGUCUGAGAGGAUGAUCACCCACACUGGAACUGAGACACGGUCCAGACUCCUACGGGAGGCAGCAGUGGGGAAUAUUGGACAAUGGGCGCAAGCCUGAUACAGCCAUACCGCGUGGGUGAAGAAGGCCUUCGGGUUGUAAAGCCCUUUUGUUGGGAAAGAAAAGCAGCAGGUUAAUACCCCGCUGUUCUGACGGUACCCAAAGAAUAAGCACCGGCUAACUUCGUG